rnacentral:rRNA from 1 species
GACGAACGCUGGCGGCGUGCUUAACACAUGCAAGUCGAACGGAAAGGCCCCUUUGGGGGUACUCGAGUGGCGAACGGGUGAGUAACACGUGAGUAACCUGCCCUUGACUUCGGGAUAACUUCAGGAAACUGGGGCUAAUACCGGAUAGGAAUCCUUGCUGCAUGGUGGGGGUUGGAAAGCUUCGGCGGUUUUGGAUGGACUCGCGGCUUAUCAGCUUGUUGGUGGGGUAGUGGCUUACCAAGGCUUUGACGGGUAGCCGGCCUGAGAGGGCGACCGGCCACAUUGGGACUGGGAGACGGCCCAGACUACUACGGGAGGCAGCAGUGGGGAGUAUUGCACAAUGGGCGGAAGCCUGAUGCAGCAACGCCGCGUGCGGGAGGACGGCCUUCGGGUUGUAAACCGCUUUCAGCAGGGGCGAAGCUUGUGGUGACGGUACCUGCAGAAGAAGCACCGGCUAACUACGUG